CUUACGCCCAAAAGUCCUUGUAUGGAUCAGUUCCCAAGAACAAUAUCAUCAUCCUUCAAGAAGUAUGUACCUGGACAACCCUCUACAGAUAAUAUAUGGAAAGCCAUCUAUAUGUUUGUUCCCUCUCAUUUUCAGUGUGUCGGCUUCCUACUUUUGGCCUGGCCCAUUCACCAGAAAUGGAUUCCAUCACACUGGUCCGACGAUGUGAGGGAUUGGUCCAUCGCAGGAAGUCGGUCGAGCUGAGCUUUUUGAGAUACUUCAAGAAACUAUUAGGUUGUCCAACGAAUUUUCUUCGAAGGUUUCUGACUAUGAACGCGCAUUAACUACGUUCCAAAAAAGUAAAUCUACACAUUAAAAACAAACAGGUUCCUACUAUCUAUGUAGGUAUUAAACAAGUGGUCUCAAAUACGAAAUAAUUUAUUCAUCAUGCUACAAUCUAUAAGACAGAUGGAA